rnacentral:rRNA from 1 species
ACUCCAGAGAUGGAGUGUUCCCUUCGGGGACAAGGUGACAGGUGGUGCAUGGUUGUCGUCAGCUCGUGUCGUGAGAUGUUGGGUUAAGUCCCGCAACGAGCGCAACCCUUAUUACUAGUUGCCAGCAUUUAGUUGGGCACUCUAGUGAGACUGCCGGUGACAAACCGGAGGAAGGUGGGGAUGACGUCAAAUCAUCAUGCCCCUUAUGACCUGGGCUACACACGUGCUACAAUGGCGUAUACAACGAGUUGCCAACCCGUGAGGGUGAGCUAAUCUCUUAAAGUACGUCUCAGUUCGGAUUGUAGGCUGCAACUCGCCUACAUGAAGUCGGAAUCGCUAGUAAUCGCGGAUCAGCACGCCGCGGUGAAUACGUUCCCGGGUCUUGUACACACCGA